CGGACGGGUGAGUAAUGUCGUGGGAAACUGCCGAUGGAGGGGGAUAACUACUGGAAACGGUAGCUAAUACCGCAUAACGUCGCAAGACCAAAGAGGGGGACCUUCGGGCCUCUUGCCAUCGGAUGUGCCCAGAUGGGAUUAGCUAGUAGGUGGGGUAACGGCUCACCUAGGCGACGAUCCCUAGCUGGUCUGAGAGGAUGACCAGCCACACUGGAACUGAGACACGGUCCAG
rnacentral:rRNA from 1 species